UGUGUAGGCGGUUGGAUAAGUGUGGUGUGAAAUCUCCCGGCUCAACUGGGAGGGUGCGCUACAGACUGUCUGGCUAGAGUACGGGAUGGGAAAGUGGAAUUCCUGGUGUAGCGGUGAAAUGCGUAGAUAUCAGGAGGAACACCGGUGGUGUAGACGGCUUUCUGGACCGUAACUGACGCUGAGACACGAAAGCGUGGGUAGCAAACAGGAUUAGAUACCCUGGUAGUCCACGCCCUAAACGAUGCAUAUUUGGUGUGGGUCAUUCAUUUGAUCCGUGCCGGAGCUAACGCGUUAAAUAUGCCGCCUGGGGAGUACAGUCGCAAGGCUGAA
rnacentral:rRNA from 1 species